rnacentral:rRNA from 1 species
AUGGAGUUUUGGUCGGAGGCAGCGCUCCUUUUACCUAGUGCAUCACUAUUAGAGGGUGCUUGUAAAUGUCUGGACCCGUCUGGACCAAUGGGGUACAUCAAGCAUCUGCGGACACAGGUCAACCCUUGGGCCCAUCACAAACCUGUUUUGAUUGGUUGUGGGUCCGGAGCUUACACGUGGGACCGCGUGGAUGUGGGUCCGGAGCUGACAUGUAGGCCCGUGCAACUAAAUCCCCAAAUCAUUGGCAACCCAUCCGCCCGGUCGGUUGUCCUGCGCCGCCGCCGCCACCUGCGCCGCGGCCAGCACCUGCCCCGCCACCAGCUGCACGGCCUGCUCUGCCGCUACCUCCCCGCGCCUAUGCUCCACGGCUACCUGCGACGCCCACCACCUUCCUGCGACGCCACGGGUGGGGCGCCCGCCACCUGCUCGAUCCGCGGCGCGGCCUCCUUCCGUGCGCCCGGCCAGAACGCUCAAAGCUGUGACCCCGGAGUAUUUGGCGAGGCAGGCAUCGGGCCGGAGAUCCGCCGCGUCCACGACUGGGUUCCCGAGGGGAUGGAGUUGCGGUUUGCUUUCAUGGUGCACAUUAGAAGGGACCGGUACAUGUUCGAUGCAAAGGAUAAGAAGAAAUACCAAGGAGGUUUUGAUUAUCGGUUGCCAAUGGCUAGUAAUUGGAGUUUCAGACAAUUUGGGGAGAAUUGGGUGACAGUUAGUAAUGAUGAAGAGCUAGCUACCAUGUUUGUUAGGCAUAAAGAGAAAGAUAAUUUUCAUGUGAGGCUGCAAGUUGAUGUGCUUGAGCAGGCAUUUGGACCUAGGAUGGCGGGUGCAACAUCUCGGGGAGAACCAAGUCAUCGUAAUGGCAUCUCUAGCCAGAACAGUUCAGUUGGUGCACGGCGACGUGGUGGCUCGACAAGUGUGGGCAACAGCAGUAGGGUCCCCCUUGAAGUGGAGCCUGAUGGCUACAAUUCUGGGGUUGAUGAAGAGAAGCUAUAUUCUGAUGUUAUUCGGAAUUUACGACGGGCUCCUCGGACUGAAAAUCAAGAUGAGGCUCACAAUGCAGUCUGUGUGAAUGAUGACGCGAUGGGUGAGGACGAAGACCUUGCAGCUGUUGAAUGGGACCCUUUGAACCCUCAUAUGGAAGAAGGUACAUUUUUUGCAUCCAUGAAUGAGUGUAGAAAUGCACUUGUGACAUACUGCAUCAAGGUAGAACGUACUUUCAAAGUUGACAAGAGUGAUCAACCGGUUGCCUCAACAGAUGAUGAAAAUGAUGGUCAACAGUCGGUUGCAUCAGAUGAGGAUUUUGACAAGGUUCCAAAUGAUGAUGGUCAACAACCACAAGAUUUUGACGAUGAUCCAAAAUAUCCUCCAAAUAAUGAUUCAAGUGAGGCUCCAAAUGGUGAUCCAAGUGAGGCUCUAAAUGGUGAUCAUGGUGAUCCAAGUGAGGCUCCAAAUGAUGAUCCAAGUGAGGCUCCAAAUGGUGACUAA